UGUUAUGUAUUUGCAAUUAAAGGUUAAGAGAAUUCGUUAGACAUGUUUUAGAGUAUAGGUUCACGCAUUUUGCUCUCUAUGUAGUUUAUUAAACAGUAGGAAUUUAAAUAUAGUAGGACAUACGAUGCCCGGCCAGCAUCCUCGUCGUCGACUCGGUGGCGGCCACCUGCUUGAUAGGCGCCAGCGUGUGCGAGACUGGGCUCCGUCAGGCUGGCACUGGGAGGAGUUACCUUCCGGGGCGCGCAGCUUGGUGAGGAACCAGGCUCCCGUCAUCGGCCCGGAGCUUCUUUGGUGGCGGUCGCGGGGGCCACAGAGGGUGAAGAGGUUGCCGGGUCCCGAGGAGGAGGUACGUCGCCGUGUCAGGGAGGAGGGCGAGCACGUCCGUCGCUACAUGGAGGUGUUGGAUGCCAGGUUCGACAGGACCUGACAGGUUCUUCUUGGAUGUCACUCGAGCUA
rnacentral:lncRNA from 1 species